AAAUUUAUAAUCUGGCACCUUCGGUGUCCCAUUUAAAAUCUCUAGAAGUGUUUUCCGCGUUGGACCGCACACAAGUCUGUUGGAAUACAGCGGCACAGUGGUGAUACCCCCGUACACGGUGCGGACGCCCAGCGCUUUGUGAUACACUUUCAAUGAGUCGAGUUGUUUGGGAAUGCAGCUCAAAUUGGGUGGUAAAUUCCAUCUAAAGCUAAAUAUUGGCGAGAGACCGAUAGCGAACAAGUACCGUGAGGGAAAGAUGAAAAGCACUUUGGAAAGAGAGUUAACAGUACGUGAAAUUGUUGGAAGGGAAACGCUUGAAGUCAGACUUGCUUGCCGGAGCUUGCUUCGGUUUGCAGGCCAGCAUCAGUUUUCCGGGGUGGAUAAUGGUGGUUUGAAGGUAGCAGCCUCGGCUGUGUUAUAGCUUUCCACUGGAUACAUCCUGGGGGACUGAGGAACGCAGCGUGCUUUUUGCGAAGGUUUCGACCUUUUCACGCUUAGGAUGCUGGUGUAAUGACUUUAAACGACCCGUCUUGAA
rnacentral:rRNA from 1 species